rnacentral:tRNA from 3 species
GGGCCCAUAGCUCAAUUGGCAGAGCCACCGGCUCAUAACCGGAAGGUUCCUGGUUCGAGUCCAGGUGGGCCCACCA